AUUGAACGCUGGCGGCAUGCUUUACACGUGCAAGUCGAACGGUAACAGGCCGCAAGGUGCUGACGAGUGGCGAACGGGUGAGUAAUGCAUCGGAACGUGCCCAGUCGUGGGGGAUAACGCAGCGAAAGCUGCGCUAAUACCGCAUACGAUCUAUGGAUGAAAGCGGGGGACCGAAAGGCCUCGCGCGAUUGGAGCGGCCGAUGUCAGAUUAGGUAGUUGGUGGGGUAAAGGCUCACCAAGCCAACGAUCUGUAGCUGGUCUGAGAGGACGACCAGCCACACUGGGACUGAGACACGGCCCAGACUCCUACGGGAGGCAGCAGUGGGGAAUUUUGGACAAUGGGCGCAAGCCUGAUCCAGCAAUGCCGCGUGCAGGAAGAAGGCCUUCGGGUUGUAAACUGCUUUUGUACGGAACGAAACGGUCCUGGUUAAUACCUGGGGCUAAUGACGGUACCGUAAGAAUAAGCACCGGCUAACUACGUGCCAGCAGCCGCGGUAAAAC
rnacentral:rRNA from 1 species